AACGCACAUUGCGCCCUUUGGUAUUCCUCAGGGCAUGCCUAUUCGAGCGUCGUUUCGACCUCAGCUUGCUGGUUUUGAGGGCUGCGUCGCACCCUUUGAAAGCAUUGGCGGCAGCAGCAGCACGAUCGCAGCACAAUGCGUGACGGCGGCCUGCUUGCUUGCCUCGCACCACCUUUUUUUUUUCAAGCUCGACCUCGAAUUAGGCAGGGAUACCCGCUGAACUUAA
rnacentral:misc_RNA from 1 species